UAGGGAAUAUUGGGCAAUGGGCGCAAGCCUGACCCAGCAACGCCGCGUGAGGGAAGAAGGUUUUCGGAUUGUAAACCUCUGUCCUAUGUGACGAAGGAAGUGACGGUAGCAUAGGAGGAAGCCCCGGCUAACUACGUGCCAGCAGCCGCGGUAAUACGUAGGGGGCGAGCGUUGUCCGGAAUUACUGGGCGUAAAGGGUGCGUAGGCGGUUUUGUAAGUUGGAUGUGAAAUACCCGGGCUUAACUUGGGGGCUGCAUCCAAUACUGCAGGACUUGAGUGCAGGAGAGGAAAGCGGAAUUCCUAGUGUAGCGGUGAAAUGCGUAGAUAUUAGGAGGAACACCGGUGGCGAAGGCGGCUUUCUGGACUGUAACUGACGCUGAGGCACGAAAGCGUGGGGAGCAAACAGG
rnacentral:rRNA from 1 species